UACAGAGGGUGCAAGCGUUAUUCGGAAUUACUGGGCGUAAAGCGCGCGUAGGUGGUUUGUUAAGUUGGAUGUGAAAUCCCCGGGCUCAACCUGGGAACUGCAUUCAAAACUGACUGACUAGAGUAUGGUAGAGGGUGGUGGAAUUUCCUGUGUAGCGGUGAAAUGCGUAGAUAUAGGAAGGAACACCAGUGGCGAAGGCGACCACCUGGACUGAUACUGACACUGAGGUGCGAAAGCGUGGGGAGCAAACAGG
rnacentral:rRNA from 1 species